GUUGAUUAGGAACGUUGAGAAUCAUCCCUAAGUUAAGGGUGUUGAGUUGAGAACCUUGUGGGUACGGGGAAGAUUUUCUUAGGGGCUUUUCAGGAAUCAGGAGCCCCGGAUAGGAGAGCAGGAAAAGCCCCGCUGAUAUAGUAUAGUCUAUCUGCCUUUUUUGAAAGGUAAGUUUUAUAGGGACAGUUAGAUUUUGUGGGAAAUGUCUAUAGG